rnacentral:rRNA from 1 species
UCUAUCCUACGGGGGGCAGCAGUGGGGAAUAUUGGGCAAUGGGCGCAAGCCUGACCCAGCAACGCCGCGUGAAGGAAGAAGGCUUUCGGGUUGUAAACUUCCUUUCUCAGGGACGAAGAAAGUGGCGGUACCUGAGGAAUAAGCCACGGCUAACUACGUGCCAGCAGCCGCGGUAAUACGUAGGUGGCAAGCGUUAUCCGGAUUUAUUUGGUGUAAAGGGCGUGUAGGCGGGAGCGCAA